CUGCUGCCUCCCGUAGGAGUCUGGGCCGUGUCUCAGUCCCAAUGUGGCCGGCCAACCUCUCAGUCCGGCUACUGAUCGUCGCCUUGGUGGGCCGUUGCCCCGCCAACUAGCUAAUCAGACGCGAGCUCAUCUCAGAGCGAUAAAUCUUUGGCGUCCAGGGAGAUGCCUCCCAGACGCAUCAUGCGGUAUUAGCGGCUGUUUCCAACCGUUAUUCCCCACUCCAAGGCAGAUUGCUCACG
rnacentral:rRNA from 1 species